GGAUCUUGCAUAAGGUGUUUGAGCAGAGAGAAAUUCAUCUCACACUGCAGCAGCAUUUUUCAGCGUUUCUUUUGAGAACGGGAAUUUUCAGAUUGCUGCUGCGGUUUCGUCCACCGUUGGAUCGGGCUAAACUUUUGUCAGCAUGUUCAUACCUCGUGGUUCUUCAAUUUGACCGUUCGGAUUGUUCAAAAGUCACUGGAACAGUGAUAUAUACGCCGUGUACGGUAACUGCAUUUUGUGAAUUUUUCAGGUUCCUUGUUCUCUGUUUUCAUCUCUGUUGUAUUGGUAUUUGGCUGGUCAUUGAGCACAAAUUGUGCUGUGAUUUGAGUCUCUUAUAACCAUAUUUUUUGAUCAUAAUGGAACCUUGAUUGACUGGCUUGUGCCCGUAGUUUUUACUUCUCACAUUGAGAAGGUUUUCCACGUUAAAAUUCUUGUGUCUUCUUGAAGUGUGUUUUGUGUUGCUGCCAUUAUUUGCUAUUGCUCCUCACAGAUUCUUGCAAGUUGGGGAAAUUGUUAUCCGCUGCAUAUUGCUCUUGUUGAGAUAUUAUUGUUAUUGUAUUGAAUUUCCCAUCAGAGUGUUAUCAGAGCUCCUUGGUUGGGGCUAUUUGACUGCUUGAAUGAUGGAGGCAAAUACAAAUAAGAUGGUUUGUUUGAACGACACUAACUAUCACUUAUGGAAGGGAAAAAUGAAGGAUCUGUUAUUUGUGAAGAAAUUGCAUCUUCCUGUGUUUGCUACUGAAAAGCCAAAAGACAAGACUGAUGAAGAAUGGAAGUUUGAGCAUCAGCAGAUUUGUGGUUUUAUUCGUCAGUAUGUUGAAGAUAAUGUUUAUAAUCACAUUGCUAAUGAGGAAGAUGCAAAAUCCUUGUGGAAGAAGAUUGAGACUUUGUAUGUUUCUAGUACAGGAAACAAUAAAUUAUAUUUGUUGAAUUCCUUGAUGAAUUUGAGGUACAAGGAGGGGAUUUCUAUUUCAGAUCACUUAAAUGAUUUUCAGGGGUUCCGAGAUCAAUUGUCUCAAAUGGGCAUCAAAUUUGAUGAUGAAGUGUUGGGACUAUGGCUACUGAAUACUCUACCAGACUCUUGGGAAACAUUUCGGAUUUCAAUUACAAACUCAUCUCCUGAUGGUGUUGUCUCCUUGGAAAAUGUUAAGAGUAGUGUUCUUAAUGAGGAGAUGAGAAGGAAGGCUCAUGGUACUUCAUCUCUUUCCGAGGUACUCUUCACUGAAAAUAGGGGGAGAAGUCAGAAAAAGGAACCGAAAGGGAGUAAACAAAGUAGCAUAAGUAAGUCCAAGUCCAGAUACAAAAAUGUGGAGUGCCAUUAUUGUCACAAAGCAGGGCACAUUCAGAGAAACUGUUUUCUUUGGAAAAAGGAGAACAAGGAUAAGAAAGGGAAGCAGAAGGAGAAACAUCAUGACAAUGAUGAUCGUGUUACUACUGUUAUUUCUGAUGAUGAUCUUAUUAUUCUCCGUGACCAUGAUUCAGUUAAUCUUGUAUCAGAUGAGAACAUGUGGAUAAUUGACAGUGGUGCUACAUUGCAUGUUACACCAAGGAAGGAGUUCUUCACAUCUUACACUUCUGGUGAUUUUGGAGUGUUAAAGAUGGGUAAUGAUGGUGUGUCUAAGGUAAUUGGUAUUGGUGAUGUUUGCUUGCAAACCAAUAUGGGAAUGCAGUUGUUGCUUAGAGGAGUCAAACAUGCUCCAGAUGUCCGCUUUAAUUUGCUUUCUGUGCAGAUGCUUGAUGAUAGUGGUUUUGAAAAUCACUUUGGUUUAGGAAAGUGGAAACUCUCCAGAGGUAAUCUCAUCGUGGCCAAAGGGGAGAGAAUCAGUAAACUAUAUUGGACAAAAGCAUUGGUUGCUAAAGACAGUGUGAACGCCAUGGAUAUGGACGCUUCUUUGUGGCACCGAAGGCUUAGUCAUAUCAGUGAGAAGGGGCUAAAUUGUUUAGCUAAAAAGGAUGUGCUUUCGGGAUUGAAGAGUACAGAGUUGGAGAAAUGUUCUCAUUGUAUGGCUGGUAAGCAGACUAGAGUAUCCUUCAAGAAGCAUCCUCCCUCAAAGAAGUCAGAGUUACUUGAAUUGGUGCAUUUUGAUGUUUGUGGCCCAUUGAAGGUAAAGUCAUUUACUGGUGCACUUUAUUUUGUUACCUUUAUUGAUGAUUGUUCCAGGAAGCUUUGGGUUUAUGCUUUGAAGACAAAGGACCAAGUUCUAGAGAAAUUCAAAGAAUUUCAUGUUUUGGUCGAGAGACAGUCAGGCAAGAAGCUGAAAUGCAUUCAUACUGACAAUGGUGGUGAGUAUUGUGGACCGUUCGAUGCUUAUUGCAAGCAACACGGUAUCAGACAUGAAAAGACUCCUCCUAAAACUCCUCAGUUGAGUGGCUUAGCAGAAAGGAUAAACAGGACACUGAUAGAAAGAGUCAGGUGUAUGCUUUCUGAAGCAAAGUUGCCUAAGCACUUUUGGGGUGAGGCAUUGUACACUGUAGUGCAUGUUAUUAAUUUAAGUCCUGUAGUUGCUUUGAAUGCUGAGGUGCUAGACAAGGUUUGGUUUGGCAAGAAUGUCAAGUAUGAUCAUUUGCGAGUCUUCAGUUGUAAAGCAUAUGUGCAUGUUCCUAAGGAUGAAAGAUCCAAGUUGGACGCGAAGACAAGGCAGUGCAUCUUCAUUGGUUAUGGUCAGGAUGAAUUUGGCUACAAGUUCUUUGAUCCGGUUGAAAAGAAGGCAGUGAGAAGCCGUGAUGUGAAGUUCAUGGAAGAUCAAACCAUUGAAGAUAUUGAUAAGACAGAGAAGACAACAUCUGAGACAGAUAAUAGAUUGUCUAAUGUCGAUCCAGUUCUGAGUGAUGAACAACAUGAUGAUGUUGAUGAUCAGCAACUUGGAGAUGCUUUUGAUGUUCCUAUUGAUGACACUGAAGAGGAACAUGGGAUGUCACAAGACGAGGAUCUUGGUGAUGCUCCUGAACCACCUCAAGUUCAAAUUCGGAGGUCUAAUAGGCAGAGGGAACCAUCUACUAGGUAUCCUUCUGAUGACUAUGUUACCUUGACGGAUGAAGGAGAACCGGAGUGCUAUCGUGAAGCCAUGGAGAGUGAAGAAAAGAAAAAGUGUCUGGAUGCAAUGCAAGAUGAAAUGAAGUUCUUGCAUGAUAAUCACACUUUUGACUUGGUGAAAUUGCCAAAAGACAAGAAAGCUCUUGAAAACAGGUGGAUUUACAAGGUAAAGCAAGAAAGCAAUUCCACAUCUCCAAGGUAUAAAGCCAGAUUGGUAGUGAAAGGCUUUAGACAGAGAAAAGGCAUUGAUUUCAAUGAGAUUUUAUCUCCUGUGGUGAAGAUGUCAUCCAUUAGAAUUGUGCUGAGUUUGGCUGCUACUCUUGAUUUAGAGGUAGAACAAAUGAAUGUUAAAACUGCUUUCCUUCAUGGUGAUUUGGAGGAAGAGAUUUACAUGAAGCAACCUGAUGGUUUUCUUGUUGAAGGCAAGGAAAAUCAUGUGUGUAGGCUGAGAAAAAAGUCUAUAUGGCUUGAAGCAAGCUCCUCGUCAAUGGUACAAGAAGUUUGAGUCUGUUAUGUGUGAGCAAGGCUACAAGAAGACUACUUCUGAUCAUUGUGUGUUUGUUAAAAAAUUUGCUAAUGAUGAUUUCAUUAUCCUGUUGUUGUAUGUUGAUGACAUGCUUAUUGUUGGGAAAUAUAUUUCCAUGAUCAACAGGUUGAAGAAGCAAUUGAAUGAGUCAUUUGCUAUGAAAGACAUGGGAGCUGCUAAGCAAAUUCUUGGUAUAAGAAUCAUGCGUGAUAGGCAAGAGAAGAAGCUUUGGUUGUCACAGGAGAACUAUGUUAAAAGAGUGCUACAGAGGUUCCAGAUGGAAAAUGAUAAGGUGGUAAGCACUCCUCUUGCUACCCAUUUUAAAUUGAGUACAAAACAAAGUCCUUCUGAUGAAUAUGAAAAGUCAGAUAUGCAACGGGUUCCUUAUGCAUCUGCUGUGGGUAGCUUGAUGUGUGCAAUGGUGUGUACAAGACCAGAUAUUGCACAUGUUGUUGGUACAGUCAGUAGAUUUAUGUCUAAUCCAGGUAGAGAGCAUUGGAAUGCUGUGAAAUGGAUUUUAAGGUAUCUUUGUGGUACNNNNNNNNNNNNNNNNNNNNNNNNNNNNNNNNNNNNNNNNNNNNNNNNNNNNNNNNNNNNNNNNNNNNNNNNNNNNNNNNNNNNNNNNNNNNNNNNNNNNGAUAAGCCUACCCUUGUAGGUUACACUGAUUCUGAUAUGGGUGGAGACAUAGACUCUAGAAGGUCUACCUCAGGCUACGUGAUUAAAUUUGCAGGUGGAGCUGUGGCAUGGCAAUCCAGAUUACAGAAGUGUGUUGCAUUGUCCACUACUGAGGCAGAGUUCAUUGCCAUUACAGAAGCAUGCAAGGAGUUGUUGUGGGUGAAGAAACUCCUGCAAGAGCUUAGUUUUGUUCAAGACAAGUACUUGCUAUUUUUUGAUAGUCAGAGUACAAUUUAUCUUGGUAAGAAUUCAACUUUCUAUUCUAGGUCCAAGCAUAUUGAUGUGAGGUAUCAUUGGAUACGCGAUGCUUUGGAAGCUGGGUUACUGGAGUUGGCAAAAGUUCAUACAGAUGAUAAUUGUGCUGAUAUGAUGACAAAGUCACUACCGAGGAGCAAGUCUGAAACUUGUUGCAAGAUUGCCGGUUUGGCAAUCAUCUCCACAUAGUUGUGAGGGGAAGAUUUGUUGGAUUUGGGCUCACUUCCUACGUGGAGGCCCAACCCACAGUAAAAUUAGGUUAGGUCUAUUUUGCUUCUCAUUCUUUCAAUGGAUGAGUGAGUACAGUCAAGGUGCAAUAGAGAGAGCAAAGAGCCAUCUAGAAACUCUUGGAGAGAGCCAACAGUGUGCCAUCCAUAGAGAGUGAUAUAGAGAGUGAAAUAGAGAGUGAUAGUGAAACAGAGAAAAGGAGAAAGUUUUGUCAGAAACUUCCGACCACCGCCGCCGAUUUGUUCACCGUUGGAUCUAGCUGAAACUUUGUCAUCAGGUUCAUACUGUGUGUAACUUCAAUCUGACCGUUCGGAUCUUGCAUAAGGUGUUUGAGCAGAGAGAAAUUCAUCUCACACUGCAGCAGCAUUUUUCAGCGUUUCUUUUGAGAACGGGAAUUUUCAGAUUGCUGCUGCGGUUUCGUCCACCGUUGGAUCGGGCUAAACUUUUGUCAGCAUGUUCAUACCUCGUGGUUCUUCAGUUUGACCGUUCGGAUUGUUCAAAAGUCACUGGAACAGUGACAUAUACGCCGUGUACGGUAACUGCAGUUUGUGAAUUUUUCAGGUUCCUUGUUCUCUGUUUUCA
rnacentral:lncRNA from 1 species